AGCCUGGCAGCUGUGUCCUCAGAGGCAAUUCCACAUGGUGUAAACCAGUUCUGACUCAAGUCCUGUCCUGGGCUGCAGCCUGUCACAGCAUACAAUGGAACUUUCAGUGUGCGGUCUAAGACCAGGCCUCACACAUGCUCACAGUUUCUACUGAUACCUUCUUAGGAUAACAUCUUUAGAACAAAAGGCUGCAUGGACAGAGAGGCCAAGUCAGCCAUUCCAGCAGAACUCAGUCAUGAGCCAAUCCAGCAGCUGAAUGUGGCUGUGCGAAUGAACCUGGAACCUGCCUCAGCUCCUAGCAGAGCAUAAGACUCCCAGAACACACAGUCAUCCUCGUGGCAAGAAGCUGUUGGCGCCAACAACCUCAGCACCACGUCUGACAUGCUAAAUUCCGGUUUUGCCGUGCAUUCUAAUGAUUACGGAAAGAUGCCCAGUCUUGUUGAACCGGGGGCCCUCCCACGCUCCCCAACCUU